rnacentral:rRNA from 1 species
GUAGGUGGCAAGCGUUGUCCGGAAUUAUUGGGCGUAAAGCGCGCGCAGGCGGUCCUUUAAGUCUGAUGUGAAAGCCCACGGCUCAACCGUGGAGGGUCAUUGGAAACUGGGGGACUUGAGUACAGAAGAGGAAAGCGGAAUUCCACGUGUAGCGGUGAAAUGCGUAGAGAUGUGGAGGAACACCAGUGGCGAAGGCGGCUUUCUGGUCUGUAACUGACGCUGAGGCGCGAAAGCGUGGGGAGCAAACAGGGAUUAGAUACCCUGGUAGUCCACGCCGUAAACGAUGAGUGCUAAGUGUUAGGGGUUUCCCGCCCCUUAGUGCUGCAGCUAACGCAUUAAGCACUCCGCCUGGGGAGUACGGCCGCAAGGCUGA